rnacentral:rRNA from 1 species
ACGGGUGAGUAACACGUGGGAACGUACCUUUUGGUUCGGAAUAACGCAGGGAAACUUGUGCUAAUACCGAAUGUGCCCUUCGGGGGAAAGAUUUAUCGCCAUUAGAGCGGCCCGCGUUAGAUUAGCUAGUUGGUGAGGUAAAGGCUCACCAAGGCUACGAUCUAUAGCUGGUCUGAGAGGAUGAUCAGCCACAUUGGGACUGAGACACGGCCCAAACUCCUACGGGAGGCAGCAGUGGGGAAUCUUGCGCAAUGGGCGAAAGCCUGACGCAGCCAUGCCGCGUGAAUGAUGAGGGUCUUAGGAUUGUAAAAUUCUUUCAGUAGGGACGAUAAUGACGGUACCUACAGAAGAAGCCCCGGCUAACUUCGUGCCAGCAGCCGCGGUAAUACGAAGGGGGCUAGCGUUGCUCGGAAUUACUGGGCGUAAAGGGAGCGUAGGCGGGUUAUCAAGUUGGAGGUGAAAGCCCAGGGCUCAACCUUGGAAUUGCCUUCAAAACUGAUAGCCUAGAGUAUGAUAGAGGUAUGUGGAACCCCGAGUGUAGAGGUGAAAUUCGUAGA